rnacentral:tRNA from 1 species
ACCUGGCUGGCUUAGUUGGGACAGCAUGAGACUCUUGAUCUUAGGGUCAUGAGUUCAAGUCCCUUGUUGGAUG